AUAUUUUUGUUUUGUACAUGAUUCUUUGGAGGAGCAGGCGUCACAGGGAUCGUUUGUUCUUCAUGGAUGUCAGGAUGUCCUGACUGCCGCCAUUGGGCGAGUAGAGCACCCUGCCCGUGUCCGUGCUGCUGGAGUUGGUGUCACCAUCAAGCAAUAUUUCGGAUCGGCUCCAUGAACGUCCUGCAACUCUUCCUCUCUGCCUCUUGAAGAGCUACAGCAGCUGACCCAACAAAUCAGGGACCAGCUAGAGGAGUCGAUCAUAGAAAAAGUGACUCGACAGCUGAUGGCAUCUUUCAGUCAGAUGCAGUCCCAGUUUCAAUCCCAGAUGCAAUCUCAGGGACUUGCACUGCCUCCAGAGCCUAUGGUUGGUCCCUCAGGUUCUCAUGUCAUCACAAAAGAGAGUUGUGUUGAUCCCUCAGGGAACGAUCUUGAGAUGGGUGACUCAAACAAGUGCGAGUUGUACAUCGAAGCAAAUCAUCCUCGCCUGGUUGCCCUAGGAAGAGUUUAUGAGGGAUCAAUAGUUUACAACAUUUCUUUGUUGCCUGGCCAAAUGAAGGUUGGUGUUGAGGAGGUUAAAGAUGCACAGGCUCCUGUUCCUGUACCCACUGAUGAGGUUACCUUAGUGGAGCAGGCACUUAACACCUUGCUUGCUUAGCUGACACAUCUCGUGAAGCCUUUAUCAGAACAUGCAGUUGUUUCUCCAUCAAAAACUCCACAAAGCCCGGAUCUUGAGGUCGAUGAUCUGCUAUAUCUGAUGACAUUGACCAUCCCAGAUCUUUUCUUGAAACCUUUCCAGGUUAACUGGGAUGUUACUGUGUUCGAGGUAUUUAAUCUAGACUUCCCACUGUACAUAAAGCACAAAGAUCUCUCUGAAAUCACACACGGUGGUCAAUGUCUCAAUAUAUUUGUCUUACAAUUAUGAAUUUUGCAUCUGACUGAAACAAGUAUGCGAGCGAGGAAUUUCGAUGUGUAUGGAUUCCUCAAGCCACAGUCUAUUCAGAGAUAUGGGCAAUCACAGUUUGACACUGAAAGUUACAUCAAGAGUUGGAUGCAGAGUUCAAAACGCGAUGUCUACCUUGGAGCCUACUUAAAUGGCAGACACUGGCAAAUGGUGGUCAUUCUCCCCAAGGAAAACCUUGUUGUCUGGUUUUGUUCCUUGCAUAACAGGCCAGACAACUACCUUAAGGGAAUAACUAACAGUACAUUGAAAGGACUUGAUGACACUCCACAGCCUAAAUCCAAG